rnacentral:rRNA from 1 species
GAUGAACGCUAGCUACAGGCUUAACACAUGCAAGUCGAGGGGCAGCGCAGUGUAGCAAUACAUGGGCGGCGACCGGCGCACGGGUGCGUAACGCGUAUCCAACCUUCCCGUUACUCAGGGAUAGCCUUCCGAAAGGGAGAUUAAUACCGAAUAACAUAGUUUGAUUGCCUGAUUAUACUAUGAAAGCUCCGGCGGAGAAGGAUGGGGAUGCGUUCCAUUAGGUAGUAGGCGGGGUAACGGCCCACCUAGCCUACGAUGGAUAGGGGUUCUGAGAGGAAGGUCCCCCACACUGGAACUGAGACACGGUCCAGACUCCUACGGGAGGCAGCAGUGAGGAAUAUUGGUCAAUGGGCGAGAGCCUGAACCAGCCAAGUCGCGUGAGGGAAGACGGUACUAAGGUAUUGUAAACCUCUUUUGUCAGGGAACAAAGAGACCACGUGUGGUAAGAUGAGUGUACCUGAAGAAAAAGCAUCGGCUAACUCCGUG